AAGUCGUAACAAGGUUUCCGUAGGUGAACCUGCGGAAGGAUCAUUAACACUGAUCACCUUAUCAAACCAAAAUGUGAACUUGUACUCUGACCUAUUACAUAUAUGUCUAAAAGUGCUUAUCAGUUGAUAGUUGUGUAUAACAGUUUCAAACUUUAUGCAUGAUUGAUAAACAGGAGUUUACCCUCCAAACUUUAUAUAUGUUAGGCUUUAUUAUUAUCAAAACUAUCUUGAUAUACCAUUUUAUUAACCCCAAACCAAACUUAUAAAUCAAAAUUUGUACUAAACAAACAAUGAUUCUAUACAUUAAUACUUUUGAGCUUUAUUGCUUGAGUAUUAUGUGUGGUAAUUAUUAAACACUAACGCAAAACAACUCUUAGCAACGGAUAUCUCGGUUCUC
rnacentral:misc_RNA from 1 species